AGUUCGGUAAUUGUUAUUACAAUUUCGAUCGGUAAGUUUGAGAAAAUACAGAGUAGUUUGUGAAUUUAAUAUAACUUUACAUAUUUUCUGUAUUCAACAAAUAACUUUACUGAAUACUGCUAUACUUUCUACUGAACUGUUCGGUAAAUUAAAUUUUAAAUGAAUUAUUUAAAAUUGAAAUCCAAAACUUGGAAAAUCCUUGGUAUUGAUAGUUUCUUUAUUAAACAUUUCUGGAAACACUGGCAAGCAUCGUGCCGAAAAAUCACAAUGUUCCAUGAGGGCAAUUUUGAACGAAAAAAAGAAUAACUAGAAGCCACUUGUCACGUCCUGUCCUAGGUUUAUAUUACCGAACGUUUUACCGAGCGCCCAGCUGUUGAAAAGUCGGUGAAAAAAAAAGAAUUCGGUGAUUAAAUAAAUUGGAAAUAAAUCCAAUUUUGAAUGGUGGUACUGUAGCCGAAACGCCGCCCCAUCGGCGAACAGUUCAGAGAUUAUUUAUGAGACAAAGCGAUCUGGAAUUUUCGUAAACGAUCAACAGGAACCAGGACAACUUGACAAUCAAAAUCAAAUUGAAAUUGACCUGGAAUACGUCAAUCAUGUAUUCACCCCUAAAGUCUUGCAGAAACUAUUAGCUCAAAGUGAAACUGGUAAAGAAAUAUUACAACGCGCUAUCAGAGGUGAAUUAUCAGAAAGGAAUCAGCUCCAGCUUUCGGGUAUAAUCGCACAACACCACAUUAGUCUACACAAAAAACUAACUGCUGAGGACCUGCAUCGAUAUAGUCUCUCUGUUAUUAAACUUUUUGAAAACGAGAAACAAGAAAACUAUUAUAUACCAAGAGGAGGUGAUCGAAAAAAUCCGGGUGGUAAAAUCGCCAAUAAAGUAGUAAACUUACGGCAAAGUAAAAGGAAAAACUUAAAUAGAGAGGAAGAACAUGCGAAAAGGACUCAACUAGUUGAUCGCACUAAAGAAAGUUGCAAUAACGACGCAUCAAACUGGUUAAUCCUUAAUCAAGCACCAUGGUCUAUGGUGGUAAUUGAGUUUUGGCCAGAAAGCUUUAGUGUCCGUCAUCGUUUCUUGAAACAUUCUAGAAAUUCUAGUUUGCAUACACAACUCAUGAAAGACUAUCCACAUUAUAGCAACAAGUUUGGA